rnacentral:misc_RNA from 1 species
AAGUCGUAACAAGGUCUCCGUAGGUGAACCUGCGGAGGGAUCAUUAACACGUUUUAAAACACGUUUUAACACAACCAACCAACCAACCACGUGAACUAUUUAACACUCCUGGAAGAAAAGAAUUCUGUCUCUACUUAUCAUCAAUGAGUUGUGUAAUACUUUGCGUGUAGUUUAACUACUGCACGUAAUUACUUACAUUUCGGUGAGUCUAGACUAGCAUUGCAGUUAAGAGCUGACUUGUAAAGACCUUUUCUUUUGGGCUAAAUGCGUCCCUCAUUGCUGGCGCGAAAACACCCCUUUCACCACUUCUAUAACCAUUGACUGAUCUUUUUUCUUUGUAAUAUAGGAAAAAAACUAAUCAAAUAUCUAAGCACAACUCUUAGCAACGGAUAUCUUGGUUCUC